rnacentral:rRNA from 1 species
AUUGAACGCUGGCGGCAGGCUUAACACAUGCAAGUCGAGCGGAUGCAGGGUGUUUGCUCUUGGAUUCAGCGGCGGCCGGGUGAGUAACGCCUAAGAAUCUCCCUGGUAGUGGGGGAUAACGUUCGGAAACGGGCGCUAAUACCGCAUAUGCCUUGAGGGAGAAAGGGGGGGAUCUUCGGACCUCACGCUAUCAGAUGAGCCUAGGUCGGAUUAGCUUGUCGGUGGGGCAUAGGCCUACGAAGGCGACGAUCAGUAACUGGACUGAGAGGAUGACCAGGCACACUGUCACUGAGACACAGACCAGACUCCUACAGGAGGCAGCAGCGGGCUAUAUUCGACUCUGGUCGAAGGCCUGAUCCAGCCGUGCCGCAUGUGUGAGGGAGGUCUUCGGAUUGUGAAAAGCUUUACGUUGGGAGGAAGGGCAAUAAAUUAAUACCGUCCUGUUUUGACGUUAGCAACAGAAUAAGCACCGGCUAACUUCGUG